CCAGAGACUCCAAGCUAGGAAGUGAUGAAGUUGAGACUCAUACUUUUCUUUUAACUCUUGAACCAGGAAACUUCCCUCUACACCCUGCUGCUUCUAAAGAAUGUGUAAAAAACAGAAGACAAGCUGAGAUGAACAUAUAUGAACUUUUGACAUUAUAAAGCCAAAUAAGAUGUGAUAAAAAUCUCACCAGAUACAUGACCCACUUGAGAAGAGUCUUCCAGUGGAGAGCAUCUGUGGAAAUUACCAAUUUGAAGUAUAUUGACUUUCAGAAGUUGGAG